GUGCCAGCAGCCGCGGUAAUUCCAGCUCCAAUAGCGUAUAUUAAAGUUGUUGCAGUUAAAAAGCUCGUAGUUGGAUCUCGGGCGCAGGCGGGCGGUCCGGCUCGCGCCGGCUCGCCGCCCGUUCACCUGCCCCACCCCUGCCGGCUCCCUCCCGGCGGUGUUCUUCACUGAGCGUCCCGGGUGGCCGGCGCGUUUACUUUGAAAAAAUUAGAGUGUUCAAGGCGGGCCUGCCGAGCCCGAAUAACUGCGCAUGGAAUAAUGGAAUAGGACCUCGGUUCUAUUUUGCUGGUUUUCGGAAUCCGAGGUAAUGAUUGACGGGGACAAACGGGGGCAUUCGUAUUGCGGCGUUAGAGGUGAAAUUCUUGGAUCGCCGCAAGACGGGCUACUGCGAAAGCAUUUGUCAAGAAUGUUUUCAUUAAUCAA
rnacentral:rRNA from 1 species